rnacentral:lncRNA from 1 species
AUUGAUUUGUGGAGAACCUGGAAUAUCAGUUGAAAAGUCUGGACUUCCUACCCCAGUAAUGGAUAUUUCUGGGGGUUUCUGAGUAGUAGACUUGAAAGCAUUUGCAGGCCUUACUCUAAUUCUACAGCUCUUCUGGAUAAAUGUUUGGAAAGCUUGUUACAACACUGAUUGCUGACCCUACACCCCAGACUUUCUGAUUCAGUAGGGGGUCCAAGAAUCUGCAUUUCUAACAGGUUCCCCAGCUGGUGCUGAUGCUGCUGGUCUGCAGACCACACUUUGAGAACCAUGGUUCUGUUGGUUCUCAACUCCGGAUGCCCAUUCAGAUCAUCAGAGGAGCUUUUAAAAAAUCCUGAGGCGUGUGCCCUACUCCAGACCAGAGGAUGAGCUGUUGGUAAUUGUUAAAAGCUCGCAUGUGAUAUCUCAGGUCAGCAAUUCUCAAAUUUGCUUAUGAGUAUGAAUCACUUAGGAAUGUCAGCUGCAGAUCCCUUUUUCCACAGAUCCGGGUUGAGGUUUGAGAUGAUGCAUUUCUCAUGAGCUCCCAGAAGAUGUUAAUGCUGCUGGUCAGUGGACCGCGCUUGGAACAGCUAGCCUCUAGAUUCUUUUUUUUUUUUUUUCUCUCUCUCUUUCUCUUUCUCACUUUUCUCUCUAAGCUUUCAUUCAGGGGUUGAUUCAGUCUGUCUUUUCUGCUCCCAGUGCAGUGGAAUGACAUACCAUUCCGAAACUCUUAUUGGUAUUGUGCCUAAGGAAAAAAACACAGAGGGAUGGGGUGAAGAACUCUGGGUUUGGUCAGCAGCUGAGCCGUCCUGGAGACGAAACCUUGGGCCAGCGCCGGCUUGGUGGCACGAAGCCUGGAGCAGUGCAGAAAAGUAUACUUGGAGGAAUAAAAACGAAAACAUUCCAAGGCUGGAAGGCGAAACUCCUCCUCCUACAACCUUGGGUAGAUCGACACUAGGACACCCAAAUUAUGUCAAUUAAAGGACGCUAUCUGAGCCCAAGCCGCACUGUGCCGUCAUUGCACGAAG